rnacentral:rRNA from 1 species
CCGUAUAGGGGAGCCGGAGGGAAACCGAGUCUUAACCGGGCGUUAAGUUGCAGGGUAUAGACCCGAAACCCGGUGAUCUAGCCAUGGGCAGGUUGAAGGUUGGGUAACACUAACUGGAGGACCGAACCGACUAAUGUUGAAAAAUUAGCGGAUGACCUGUGGCUGGGGGUGAAAGGCCAAUCAAACCGGGAGAUAGCUGGUUCUCCCCGAAAGCUAUUUAGGUAGCGCCUCGUGAAUUCAUCUCCGGGGGUAGAGCACUGUUUCGGCUAGGGGGCCAUCCCGGCUUACCAACCCGAUGCAAACUGCGAAUACCGGAGAAUGUUAUCACGGGAGACACACGGCGGGUGCUAA